UACGUAGGGGGCAAGCGUUGUCCGGAUUUAUUGGGCGUAAAGAGCGUGUAGGCGGCCUGGAAGGUCAGCUGUGAAAACUCGAGGCUCAACCUCGAGACGUCGGUUGAAACCACCUGGCUAGAGUCCGGAAGAGGAGAGUGGAAUUCCCGGUGUAGCGGUGAAAUGCGCAGAUAUCAGGAGGAACACCGGUGGCGAAGGCGGGUCUCUGGGCAGUAACUGACGCUGAGGAGCGAAAGCGUGGGGAGCGAACAGG
rnacentral:rRNA from 1 species